rnacentral:rRNA from 1 species
UACGAAGGGGGCUAGCGUUGCUCGGAAUCACUGGGCGUAAAGCGCACGUAGGCGGCUUCUUAAGUCAGGGGUGAAAUCCUGGAGCUCGAACUCCAGAACUGCCCUUGAUACUGAGAGGCUCGAGUCCGGGAGAGGUGAGUGGAACUCCGAGUGUAGAGGUGAAAUUCGUAGAUAUUCGGAAGAACACCAGUGGCGAAGGCGGCUCACUGGCCCGGUACGUGACGCUGAGGUGCGAAAGCGUGGGGAGCAAACAGGG